rnacentral:piRNA from 1 species
UAUAACAGGAAACAAAGUUCUAUAAGUA